rnacentral:misc_RNA from 1 species
AGGGAUUGGAUUGCCAAACUUCCUUCCUCGAGGUGUUUUCCUCAAUGUUUUGCAGAGAAAAGUGAAGGAAAUUGCUGCCUCUCCAGAGGAUUUUGUGGGGAAACUGUGGAAUUACUUAGAGCGAGUUGUAAUCAUAGUUUUAAUGCAUCAUUGUGAGAACUAUCCACAGCUUCAGUCUUCUACUAGAAGAGCAGCCCAAAACUUGAUUGCCAAGAAAAAGAAUGAAUCAGUUGAUUGGGUAAGGG